AUGAACGCUAGCUACAGGCUUAACACAUGCAAGUCGAGGGGCAGCAUGGUCUUAGCUUGCUAAGGCCGAUGGCGACCGGCGCACGGGUGAGUAACACGUAUCCAACCUGCCGUCUACUCUUGGACAGCCUUCUGAAAGGAAGAUUAAUACAAGAUGGCAUCAUGAGUCCGCAUGUUCACAUGAUUAAAGGUAUUCCGGUAGACGAUGGGGAUGCGUUCCAUUAGAUAGUAGGCGGGGUAACGGCCCACCUAGUCUUCGAUGGAUAGGGGUUCUGAGAGGAAGGUCCCCCACAUUGGAACUGAGACACGGUCCAAACUCCUACGGGAGGCAGCAGUGAGGAAUAUUGGUCAAUGGGCGAGAGCCUGAACCAGCCAAGUAGCGUGAAGGAUGACUGCCCUAUGGGUUGUAAACUUCUUUUAUAAAGGAAUAAAGUCGGGUAUGCAUACCCGUUUGCAUGUACUUUAUGAAUAAGGAUCGGCUAACUCCGUGCCAGCAGCCGCGGUAAUACGGAGGAUCCGAGCGUUAUCCGGAUUUAUUGGGUUUAAAGGGAGCGUAGAUGGAUGUUUAAGUCAGUUGUGAAAGUUUGCGGCUCAACCGUAAAAUUGCAGUUGAUACUGGAUAUCUUGAGUGCAGUUGAGGCAGGCGGAAUUCGUGGUGUAGCGGUGAAAUGCUUAGAUAUCACGAAGAACUCCGAUUGCGAAGGCAGCCUGCUAAGCUGCAACUGACAUUGAGGCUCGAAAGUGUGGGUAUCAAACAGGAUUAGAUACCCUGGUAGUCCACACGGUAAACGAUGAAUACUCGCUGUUUGCGAUAUACGGCAAGCGGCCAAGCGAAAGCGUUAAGUAUUCCACCUGGGGAGUACGUUCGCAAGAAUGAAACUCAAAGGAAUUGACGGGGGCCCGCACAAGCGGAGGAACAUGUGGUUUAAUUCGAUGAUACGCGAGGAACCUUACCCGGGCUUAAAUUGCAGAUGAAUUACGGUGAAAGCCGUAAGCCGCAAGGCAUCUGUGAAGGUGCUGCAUGGUUGUCGUCAGCUCGUGCCGUGAGGUGUCGGCUUAAGUGCCAUAACGAGCGCAACCCUUGUUGUCAGUUACUAACAGGUUCUGCUGAGGACUCUGACAAGACUGCCAUCGUAAGAUGUGAGGAAGGUGGGGAUGACGUCAAAUCAGCACGGCCCUUACGUCCGGGGCUACACACGUGUUACAAUGGGGGGUACAGAGGGCCGCUACCACGCGAGUGGAUGCCAAUCCCAAAAACCUCUCUCAGUUCGGACUGGAGUCUGCAACCCGACUCCACGAAGCUGGAUUCGCUAGUAAUCGCGCAUCAGCCACGGCGCGGUGAAUACGUUCCCGGGCCUUGUACACACCGCCCGUCACACCAUGGGAGUUGGGAAUGCCCGAAGCCAGUGACCUAACCGAAAGGAAGGAGCUGUCGAAGGCAGGCUCGAUAACUGGGGUG
rnacentral:rRNA from 1 species